GGUGGCUCAGCUGUAGAGUGCUUGCCUCGCAUGCAUGAGGCCCUGAGUUCAAUUUCUCAGCACCU
rnacentral:tRNA from 1 species